rnacentral:rRNA from 1 species
GAUGAACGCUGGCGGCGUGCCUAAUACAUGCAAGUCGAGCGAACAGAUGAGUAGCUUGCUCCUCUGACGUUAGCGGCGGACGGGUUAGUAACACGUGGAUAACCUACCUAUAAGACUGGGAUAACUUCGUGAAACCGUAGCUAAUACCGGAUAAUAUAUUGAACCGCAUGGUUCAAUAGUGAAAGACGGUUUUGCUGUCACUUAUAGAUGGAUCCGCGCCGCAUUAGCUAGUUGGUAAGGUAACGGCUUACCAAGGAAACGAUGCGUAGCCGACCUGAGAGGGUGAUCGGCCACACUGGAACUGAGACACGGUCCAGACUCCUACGGGAGGCAGCAGUAGGGAAUCUUCUGCAAUGGGCGAAAGCCUGACGGAGCAACGCCGCGUGAGUGAUGAAGGUCUUCGGAUCGUAAAACUCUGUUAUUAGGGAAGAACAAAUGUGUAAGUAAAUAUGCACGUCUUGACGGUACCUAAUCAGAAAGCAACGGCUAACUACGUG